GACGAACGCUGGCGGCGUGCUUAACACAUGCAAGUCGAACGGAAAGGCCCCGCUUUUGUGGGGUGCUCGAGUGGCGAACGGGUGAGUAACACGUGAGUAACCUGCCCUUGACUUUGGGAUAACUUCAGGAAACUGGGGCUAAUACCGGAUAGGAGCUCCUGCUGCAUGGUGGGGGUUGGAAAGUUUCGGCGGUUGGGGAUGGACUCGCGGCUUAUCAGCUUGUUGGUGGGGUAGUGGCUUACCAAGGCUUUGACGGGUAGCCGGCCUGAGAGGGUGACCGGCCACAUUGGUACUGAGAUACGGCCCAGACUCCUACGGGAGGCAGCAGUGGGGAAUAUUGCACAAUGGGCGGAAGCCUGAUGCAGCAACGCCGCGUGCGGGAUGACGGCCUUCGGGUUGUAAACCGCUUUCGCCUGUGACGAAGCGUGAGUGACGGUAAUGGGUAAAGAAGCACCGGCUAACUACGUG
rnacentral:rRNA from 1 species